GACGAACGCUGGCGGCGUGCUUAACACAUGCAAGUCGAACGGAAAGGCCCUGCUUUUGUGGGGUGCUCGAGUGGCGAACGGGUGAGUAACACGUGAGUAACCUGCCCUUGACUUUGGGAUAACUUCAGGAAACUGGGGCUAAUACCGGAUAGGAGCUCCUGCUGCAUGGUGGUGGUUGGAAAGUUUCGGCGGUUGGGGAUGGACUCGCGGCUUAUCAGCUUGUUGGUGGGGUAGUGGCUUACCAAGGCUUUGACGGGUAGCCGGCCUGAGAGGGUGACCGGCCACAUUGGGACUGAGAUACGGCCCAGACGCCUACGGGCGGCAGCAGUGGGGAAUAUUGCACAAUGGGCGGAAGCCUGAUGCAGCAACGCCGCGUGCGGGAUGACGGCCUUCGGGUUGUAAACCGCUUUCGCCUGUGACGAAGCGUGAGUGACGGUAAUGGGUAAAGAAGCACCGGCUAACUACGUG
rnacentral:rRNA from 1 species